rnacentral:pre_miRNA from 7 species
GGUCCCUACCUUCAAGGAGCUCACAGUCUAUUGAGUUGCCUUUCUGAUUCUCCCACUAGAUUGUGAGCUGCUGGAGGGCAGGCACU